rnacentral:rRNA from 1 species
UGGGGAAUAUUGCGCAAUGGGCGAAAGCCUGACGCAGCGACGCCGCGUGAGGGAUGAAGGUUUUCGGAUCGUAAACCUCUGUCAGAAGGGAAGAAACCGCACUGUGCUAAUCAGCAGUGCCUUGACGGUACCUUCAAAGGAAGCACCGGCUAACUCCGUGCCAGCAGCCGCGGUAAUACGGAGGGUGCAAGCGUUAAUCGGAAUUACUGGGCGUAAAGCGCACGUAGGCUGCUUUGUAAGUCAGGGGUGAAAUCCCACGGCUCAACCGUGGAACUGCCUUUGAUACUGCUUAGCUUGAAUCCGGGAGAGGGUGGCGGAAUGCCAGGUGUAGGAGUGAAAUCCGUAGAUAUCUGGAGGAACAUCAGUGGCGAAGGCGGCCACCUGGACCGGUAUUGACGCUGAGGUGCGAAAGCGUGGGGAGCAAACAGG